rnacentral:lncRNA from 1 species
UCCCUUCGGGCCAACACGAUCGAAUUUACUACAGGAUUUUUUUAACAAUCCAGCUACAAUCCUCGCAAUUUGAAGCAGUAUAUGUUCUACUAAACUAAAUCAGAACCGGUUGGGACAGUGUGGUUUUUCAGCCUUCAGUGCAGAUCGAGAGUCAUCUGCAGGCUGUGAUUGGAUGCUGUUAGCAUGCCUGAUGUUGACUGGGGAGGUAUAUGUGCACUCAUGCAGAAGAAGUAGAAGUUUUCACAUCCAAUUUGGCAUUUAGAGAAGCUGAUCUGAAGUCCGGUGUUGGCAGUGUGUGAUCGACAACCCUUGUUUUGCCUCGCUGCGCUCUAUUACCUUGUAUACAUUGUGGAACUUGGACAUGUUCUACUACACCAAAUCAGAACCAGUUGGGACAGUGCGGUUUUCGUAGGGAGCCUUCAGUGCAGAUCGAGAGAUAUCUGCAGGCUGUGAUUGGAGGAUUUUCUAUGGUAUUCAGAAAUGCCUCCAAGGAAUGGGUGCUGUUGCCAGGCUAUGCCAAAUGAACAUUUCUUGUCCGACAAGGGGAGGCAUCGCCAGGUAAACAUGGCUUAUGUCACAGUUGACCAUUGGACAGUGAUGAAUAUGGUCAUCAAUGAAGACAGAUGUGAUGCUUAUUGUAGGCUUGGAUGAUUGUUUGAAAAGUUUAGUGUGAACCUAAAGAAAUAAUCCAACAGGAAAGUUUUUGUAAAGACUUUAUUUCGCCACAUACCUCGACAAGAAAAUGUUUGUGAAGAUAUUCUAAACGAGUUGUUAAGAUGAGCUGUAAGUGUAUUCAAUUUCUGAUAUCUGGGACUCUGGCUAAAGAAUUACGUACCAUAAAAUGAAACAACUCAGAUUGAAUAAAAUGAUUAUUCUGAAAGGCUC